rnacentral:rRNA from 1 species
UGGGGAAUAUUGCGCAAUGGGCGAAAGCCUGACGCAGCAACACCGCGUGAGGGAUGACGGCCUUCGGGUUGUAAACCUCUUUCAGCUCCGACGAAGCGAAAGUGACGGUAGGAGCAGAAGAAGCACCGGCUAACUACGUGCCAGCAGCCGCGGUAAUACGUAGGGUGCAAGCGUUGUCCGGAAUUAUUGGGCGUAAAGAGCUCGUAGGCGGUCCGUUGCGUCUGCCGUGAAAACCCGGAGCUCAAACUCCGGGCCUGCGGUGGAUACGGGCGGACUAGAGUCCGGUAGGGGAGACUGGAAUUCCUGGUGUAGCGGUGGAAUGCGCAGAUAUCAGGAGGAACACCGGUGGCGAAGGCGGGUCUCUGGGCCGGAACUGACGCUGAGGAGCGAAAGCGUGGGGAGCGAACAGGAUUAGAUACCCUGGUAGUCCACGCCGUAAAACGGUGGGCGCUAGGUGUGGGAUCGUUUCCACGAUCUCCGUGCCGUAGCUAACGCAUUAAGCGCCCCGCCUGGGGAGUACGGCCGCAAGGCUAAAACUC